rnacentral:misc_RNA from 1 species
GGGGCACCGGGCGGCGGC